rnacentral:tRNA from 1 species
GACCGCGUAGCUCAGUUGACAGAGCAUUGGGCUAGUAUUCCAAAGGUCGUAGGUUCGAAUCCCACCGUGGCCA